rnacentral:rRNA from 1 species
GACAGAGGGUGCAAACGUUGUUCGGAAUUACUGGGCGUAAAGCGCGUGUAGGCGGCCAGAUAGGUCUGCUGUGAAAACUCGAGGCUCAACCUCGAGCUGUCGGCGGAAACCAUCUGGCUAGAGUCCGGAAGAGGAGAGUGGAAUUCCUGGUGUAGCGGUGAAAUGCGCAGAUAUCAGGAAGAACACCUAUGGCGAAGGCAGCUCUCUGGGACGGUACUGACGCUGAGACGCGAAAGCGUGGGGAGCGAACAGG